rnacentral:rRNA from 1 species
UACGGGGGGGGUAAGCGUUGUUCGGAAUUACUGGGCGUAAAGGGCUCGUAGGCGGCCAACUAAGUCAGACGUGAAAUCCCUCAGCUUAACUGGGGAACUGCGUCUGAUACUGGAUGGCUUGGAUUCGGGAGAGGAAUGCGGAAUUCCAGGCGUAGCGGUGAAAUGCGUAGAUAUCUGGAGGAACACCGGUGGCGAAGGCGGCAUUCUGGACCGAUAUUGACGCUGAGGAGCGAAAGCCAGGGGAGCAAACGGG